rnacentral:lncRNA from 13 species
UAAAGGUUAAUUCUAACUGACACCGGUAAGAGAACAUCAUAUCACGGCUGAAAGGAAUGAUUGAAUGACUGAACUUGUAGAACAUUGUCUAUAACCCAUAUUGCUUAUUUGUUUAGAGCGCAGUCUGAAUUUGUAGGCAGCAGGUGUCCUUAUUGAUUAAUUGUCAAAUGAAACAUAGAAACCCAUAUUUAUUGAUUAAUGAUAAAAGACAGUUGUUCAAAUAUCCUAUCUUCACACGAAGGAAGCUUUGGUUGUUGUUAAAGGACAAUGCUCAUUGAUCAUAAAAUGUUUGAUUCUAAAUUAAUGAAUGAUUAUCAUGUUGAAGCAAUUCUAUUUCAAUUAUGUUUAUUAACAUGUCUAUCAGAGUAUAAGACAGUAGGCCCGGUAUUCAUAAACCUCUCAUGAUGAAUUUCCACCUGAGACUUACUCCACACCAGUGUGUAGCCAAUGUUAAUGUCUAUUGCUGUUUAGUUGUCUGAGGUUGCGGAUCCAAAAGUAGCCACACCGUUCCGCCCCCCCGUUCCGCCCCCAUGCUGUUCGGUGUUGUUUUAGAAUGAUGUUCGGUGAGUGUAUUCUAGAGGCGAUGCUGGUAACAAACUGUAGCACACCACACAGUAGGUGGGGGGAGUUGUGAUGGAAGAUGGGGUGGGUCAUUUUGUGAUUAGAAAAGUGUGGUGAGUUAAAUGUGUGAGCCCAUGUGUGUCUGAGACCAGGAGUUGUGACAGAGAGAGUUUGCAAUUUUGUGCAGAUAUGGGAAAUACAUUUUAAAAUAAAUUACAAAUAUUUUGUAAUCUACACCUCCGUUAGGAUGACAGAUGUAAUCUACACCUCCAGUAGGAUGCUAGAUGUAAUCUACAGGAUGACAGAUGUAAUCUACACCUCCAGUAGGAUGCUAGAUGUAAUCUACAGGAUGCUAGAUGUAAUCUACUCCUCCGUUAGGAUGACAGAUGUAAUCUACACCUCCAGUAGGAUGCUAGAUGUAAUCUACAGGAUGAUAGAUGUAAUCUACACCUCCGUUAGGAUGAUAGAUGUAAUCUACAGGAUGAUAGAUGUAAUCUACAGGAUGAUAGAUGUAAUCUACAGGAUGAUAGAUGUAAUCUACAGGAUGACAGAUGUAAUCUACUCCUCCAUUAGGAUGAUAGAUGUAAUCUACUCCUCCGUUAGGAUGACAGAUGAAAUCUACAGGAUGACAGAUGUAAUCUACACCUCCAUUAGGAUGAUAGAUGUAAUCUACAGGAUGACAGAUGUAAUCUACUCCUCCAUUAGGAUGAUAGAUGAUAGAUGUAAUCUACUCCUCCACUAGGAUGAUAGAUGUAAUCUACUCCUCCGUUAGGAUGAUAG